rnacentral:tRNA from 1 species
GGAGUUGUGCCUGAAACACAAGGGCCACUUUGAUAGAGUGGAACAUGGGUGUUAGAAUCCCCCCAACUCCU